GCUGGGGUCGCGUAGUGGUUAAUCGCACGAGACUGUAAAUCUCGCACCGUCAGGUUUCGCUGGUUCGAAUCCAGCCCCCAGCACCA
rnacentral:tRNA from 1 species